GCGGAUAUGGUCGAAUGGUAAAAUUUCUCUUUGCCAAGGAGAAGAUGCGGGUCGCC
rnacentral:tRNA from 1 species